AUUGAACGCUGGCGGCAUGCCUAACACAUGCAAGUCGAACGGUAACAGGCCUUCGGGCGCUGACGAGUGGCGGACGGGUGAGUAAUGCAUGGGAAUCUGCCUGAUAGUGGGGGACAACCUGGGGAAACUCAGGCUAAUACCGCAUAAGCCCUACGGGGGAAAGCAGGGGAUCUUCGGACCUUGCGCUAACAGAUGAGCCCAUGUCGGAUUAGCUAGUUGGUAGGGUAAAGGCCUACCAAGGCGACGAUCCGUAGCUGGUCUGAGAGGACGACCAGCCACACUGGGACUGAGACACGGCCCAGACUCCUACGGGAGGCAG
rnacentral:rRNA from 1 species